AAACUGUCACAGCUCCAAGGCAAUCCUUCUAGCAAAAAGUUUUCCUUUAUUUUUCAAUCAAUCGAUUGAGUUUUUUUUUUCUCAAGGAGAUCCCAGCUGCAAGAGGAACAAGAUGCCCGCCCAGGCAACGGGAAGUAGUAAGCGCGUGCCUUCUGUAGGUGGGGGCAAAGAACGUGAAGUGUUGAAGAUAGAUUCGGAAACUAAAUCUAACCAGCCGCCGACCAAGAAAGCUUCGAGUAAACCUGCUCCGAAGAAGAACGAUAAAGUUCAGGGUGGAGGCAAGGGAAAAAAGUAAUUAAUUAAGAGCUUAUACAAGAGAGAAGGUCACAAAGCCACAAUGAAGUAGAAUAUCAGGAUUGUCUACUGCAUUUACAUUAAUUUGUCUGUAACUGGUGUAUCCAUUUCGGAGCAUAUAGUAUGUAAUUUACUAGUAGUCAAGGUCACCACAGUAUUUUAUUUUUUUAUUUUUAUUGCAUUUUGGUCUGUAUAUAAUACAUUGGUUAAUAUAUGUUCAUUCCAUAUCAGUCCAGUUAAUGGGAAAUAAUGUAGAGCACAUAUUAUUGUUGAUAUAUAUUGAACCUUCGGAGUGUUGGAUUCUUA